rnacentral:rRNA from 1 species
GACGAACGCUGGCGGCGUGCUUAACACAUGCAAGUCGAGCGGUAAGGCCUUUCGGGGUACACGAGCGGCGAACGGGUGAGUAACACGUGGGUGAUCUGCCCUGCACUUCGGGAUAAGCCUGGGAAACUGGGUCUAAUACCGGAUAUGACCUCCUAUCGCAUGGUGGGUGGUGGAAAGAUUUAUCGGUGCAGGAUGGGCCCGCGGCCUAUUAGCUUGUUGGUGGGGUAAUGGCCUACCAAGGCGACGACGGGUAGCCGACCUGAGAGGGUGACCGGCCACACUGGGACUGAGACACGGCCCAGACUCCUACGGGAGGCAGCAGUGGGGAAUAUUGCACAAUGGGCGAAAGCCUGAUGCAGCGACGCCGCGUGAGGGAUGACGGCCUUCGGGUUGUAAACCUCUUUCAGCAGGGACGAAGCGCAAGUGACGGUACCUGCAGAAGAAGCACCGGCUAACUACGUG